rnacentral:tRNA from 1 species
GCCCUCGUGGCGCAAUUGGAUAGCGCGUAGGACUUCUAAUCCUAAGGUUCGGGGUUCGAUCCCCCGCGAGGGUU